GUAAACCCAUAUCAGGCAUAACAAGAAAUCAGUUUUACAGAUGAAAAUAGUCUUGUUAAAUAAAAAGAAGAGCAAACAGAGUCUUGAAGUACAAAGAGAGCAUUACCAGCCUGCUCCUGAGACUCCAGUAAGAUGUUCUGACAGUAGAUGCUGAACCAGGGAGUCGGGCCACCAUGAAUGGCUAUCCAAGGCAUUUCUCAUGAGCUGAAAUCUGCCUCACCUGUACCCAUCUUUUUAAUCUCUCAGCCAGAGAGAGACGGCUGUACCCUUCAGUGCCCUGUUUGUUGCACUAAUUUUAUACUGCACAGCACCUAACUCCUCACUUAUCCAAACAUUCACGUUAUACUACACAUUUUUCUGACUAUUUCCCACUAACAAUUUUGCAUUAUAUACAAUCUUCAGUCAUGUUUUUGU